CCUGUGCGAAUAGGGACUAUGUAUGAAAAUGAGUGUAAUUCCUAAACCCUUCCUCCAAUUUUGAUGUAAAUACCCUCAAAUUAAACCUGGAAGUCUGCUCUACAAUUUCAUCUUGAUGAUUUAAUUUCAAAUUAAUUGUGUUAGCGCACAGGGCAUAAAUUAUGAAAAUUGUAUCACUGUCCAAAUAUUUUCGAACCUAACUGU